UGCCAGACUCCUACGGGAGGCAGCAGUGGGGAAUAUUGCACAAUGGGGGAAACCCUGAUGCAGCGACGCCGCGUGAGCGAUGAAGUAUUUCGGUAUGUAAAGCUCUAUCAGCAGGGAAGAAGAUGACGGUACCUGACUAAGAAGCCCCGGCUAACUACGUGCCAGCAGCCGCGGUAAUACGUAGGGGGCAAGCGUUAUCCGGAUUUACUGGGUGUAAAGGGAGCGUAGACGGCGAUGCAAGCCAGAUGUGAAAGCCCGGGGCUCAACCCCGGGACUGCAUUUGGAACUGUGUGGCUGGAGUGUCGGAGAGGCAGGCGGAAUUCCUAGUGUAGCGGUGAAAUGCGUAGAUAUUAGGAGGAACACCAGUGGCGAAGGCGGCCUGCUGGACGAUGACUGACGUUGAGGCUCGAAAGCGUGGGGAGCAAACAGGAUUAGAUACCCUUGUACC
rnacentral:rRNA from 1 species